rnacentral:misc_RNA from 1 species
UGCUGCACCACCACCCCAUGCCCAGCUGACGAAGCAAGCAGCACCCGCACGCGCCGAUGCCUCCACAUGCAUGGCGACAGAGCAAGAUGCAGCAAGUGGUGAAUUGGCGGAUGCGCUCACCGAGCCACCUGCGGCGAGGGCUGCCGCCGCUGAGGUGGCGGCACCUCUUCCUUGGCUUUUGGCGAACCGGACGGACGCCUCUCUCUCCGAUGAUGCGAAGAAGGAAAUAGCGCUUCACCUUUACGCCCUGAGCCGCCAAGUGCGACAGCUGCGUGACCAGCUAGAGGCACACGAGUCGACCCAUUACCGUCACGUGAACGCGCUGCGAGCAGCCCAGAAGCAGCGACAAGGGCGUUUGCCGCUGCCUCUUCGAGUUGAGAUUGUGAAAGCGUACGAGGAUGACCCCGUGCCGUACCGCAAGGGGCCUUGGAGGGAAGCUGAUUUCGCUGCCGCACGGCGCGGCGGGUCGGGUCGCAGCGCAGGCGGAAUGGAAGAGGAUGCCGCUGGUAACGAGAGUUACGCCUCUGACGACUUCACGCAGGUCACCUCGGCUGCGCUGACUGUGGUGAGCACCGACGACGGGCAAGCAAGAGAUGGCGCGCGUGGCGAUGACGGAAGCGGCAGCAGUGUCAGCAGCGCCGAGGAGCUUUUCCGACAACGGCAGGCCGCUGCGCUGAGGGCACGGAACCAACAAGCGGGAGCACGCAGCGCCGCAGCGAACGCAGUGUCUUCGUCGCGCAAUCGCCUAAGCGACCGCAGCACUGACUACUCUAGUUCUUUGACGGACACGAGCAGCGCCUCCACACUCACCACCACAACCACAACUUCGACAGACAACGACUCGGACAGCGGCUAGUGAAGCGGAUGCGCUGGUUGAUCGUGCUGCUCCUUUCCUUUUUCUCGUCUUCUUGGAUGCCCUCUUACGCUCACAAGAACGAUCGACGAAAUACCAAGGCGUCUCUGUCCGCGAUGAGGCGCUCCUUCGUGUUUGAAAGUAGAGAUGAGGGGAGAGCGGCAACCAUUUGCAUGUGCCCCCGCCAGCUCUUUCUUUCCCUCCCAUCCCCGCCACCGGAGACACGCUGGCCACAACGUGGAGAGGGAGCGCUGCUAAGGGGCAAAAGCCGGGUACCCAUACACGCGCGCGUUGAGAGAUAUGGUUCUCGCCCGCAAUGGUAAGCCAGAUAAUGCUCGGCUCGGCGCUAAUCGAAUCAGCACCCCCCCCCACGUCGCCGCUCAACUCUCCUGGCUCUCUUUCCUCCUGUCCUCCUCCGGCCGUUUCUUUGCAUCCACGGCGUUGCUGUGUGAUGGCUUGCGUGCGUCUUGCCACGCGCCAUGACGGCUGCUUUGAACACGUCCUCCCCACAG